AAGUAACUCUCCUCCCACUGCGUGAGUUGGAAGUUUAGGUAAAUUAGGUAGAUUACAUUAUUGGAAGUUUUUGUUCUAGAACUUGGUUUCUACUGAAUUUAUUAGGUAAGGGAAGGUGGGUUGCAGUUUUAAUUGGCUAGCUCUGUUGUGUUGUGAGUAGAAAAAUGAUCACCCUUGGACUUUGGCCGGUUCCAUUGCUUGUCCAGCAGAGACAUCACCUAAUGGUCGGUGGGAGUCCUCAUCUGUGUCUUUGGCAGUUAACCCUGAGAAUUUCCUUCCGAUGCAUCAAAAAAAAU
rnacentral:misc_RNA from 1 species